GACGUAGGGGGCCAGCGUUGUUCGGAAUUACUGGGUGUAAAGGGUUCGUAGGCGGUGCGGCAAGUUGGGAGUGAAAUCUCUGGGCUUAACCCAGAGGCUGCUUCCAAAAACUGCUGUGCUUGAGUGUGGGAGAGGCGCGUGGAAUUCCUGGUGUAGCGGUGAAAUGCGCAGAUAUCAGGAAGAACACCCGUGGCGAAGGCGGCUCUCUGGGACGGUACUGACGCUGAGACGCGAAAGCGUGGGGAGCGAACAGG
rnacentral:rRNA from 1 species